AUGAAAAAAUUUAGUAUUUCAACCCCCGUCCUUCAACUAAACAGCAUGACCACGUUGCCUCCAGAUUACCUCUUGAGCCUUCAAAAGAUUGUUCUUCUAAGAUACAAGGACCUUAAAAGCCUUGAUUCCAUCAACAGGCGCAUCCCACCUAUGAUCAUCUUCAACUUCUCUUCAAUUCUCAGGAUCUCUGCCCUAGCUGAACCAAUCUUGAGGUCUCUAAAGCCCUCCCCCAAAUCCUCCAUAGAUUUCAGUUUAGAAAAACCUCUUACUGAUGUCGAUUCCCACUUUUACUCCUUUCGAUCUGAAUGA